AUGCAAGGAAUCUGGGGCAAAAAAAAAAGUUUAGAAUUGAUAAGGGGAGCCAAGUAUGCAAAUAUUAAAAGGCAAAUCACUUCAAAACCAUUACAGUCAGUUCAGAGAAAGCCUUAUAGAACUGCGGAUACAUAUGGAAACAACAGGGAAGUGUCUACAAUUAAUGACCCAGAAGGGAAAAAUAUGAUAUUUGAAACACCGAGAUAAAGGGUAUUGUUCUGCUAAAUGGAAUGACAAGAGACUCCAUAGACUAAGAGAUCUUUCUGAAAAUGUUAUCACAUGUAUUGCAGCAAAAUUAAAAGAAAAACUUCAGAGAGUGCAAGUGAAUUCGAUUUUUUUAUCAGUUACAUUACCUUUUAGUAUAGUAAGGCAAAAAGAUCAGAAAAUGAGACUUUAUUGUAUUCUAUUGUAACAUAUGAAUAACUCAACAAGAUUCAUUUCUAAAAUAUAAUCACAUUAAAUUAAAAUAGAUACAAGCAUGUCAAAUGGCCCUGAAAUGAUAUGGAAAGAGAGUAUCAGGAUAACUAUUGGAGGAGAGGAUCUAUAGAACAAAUUAGGGAAAAUUAUAUCAAGAAAAGCAGUAUUAAUAAUCCUUAAGGAGAAUUUUUCCAAAUUAUCUCACUGAAGUUUUGUUACGAAAGUGUGUCUGACAAGCAUAAACAAUGCAAAUUAAAUUAAUAAAUUUAAAUUUAAAUUAAUAAUGAUAGUAAUAAUAAUAACUUUGGUAAUACACACUACCUCUCUCCCUUCUCAGCUUCCUUUCUGGAAGAAUCCUUUUUUGGGAGGUGUUAGCUGGCCCUGAUUGUUUUCUUUCAGGAAUUCUCAAUUCCCCUGCUUUCCUGACAUUUCACCCACAUCUAUGGCAGGCAUCCUCAGAAGUGUGAGGGUGCCUGCCACAGAUAUGGGCAAAACGUCAGCAGAGAAAGUCUCUGGAACAUGGUCAUGCAUACAUGGCCAUACACAGCAACUCAAGGCCAAACACUUUCAUAACAGCUCUUUGUCCAGGCUUUAACAAAAGCACAUCUGUUGGAAAUAAAAUACUGUAGAAUUAUAAUUAGCAUCAAUACCCCUUAAGAAACCUUGUUGUUCUCUUAAAGAACAAAAGGUUAACCAAUUUUCCCUUCUCUAACUUUAAAGAAAGCUACUAUCAAAUAACAUCUUGCCAAUAUCUUACCUAUACAGAAAUAAGAGACGAGUUAACAAACAAUACUGCUAAAUGUUGUAAUUGUCACAGUCAUGAGGUCAGUCUUCUAAAUGAAUGAUGAUGCAUCUUAAAAAUAUGUGUAUUUUGGGAAAAGAUAAUACAUAUAGUAAAAUUAAUGGCUGGCUAUAUUAUUUCUAUGGCUAUGAGAUUUCCUUCAACCCAAUUAACCUUCUUUUGAGAUAGCAAGAUGAUUGUACAGGAGAAAAACUCCAUACAGAAGUCUGGAAAGCAGAUGUGCAGCAAAGAUUGUAAUUGUCUCUAAUAGUGCAUUCCAGCCCUAGUUUUCAGUUAUUCUCCACAUUUUGUAACUAAGGAAUGGCUUGACAAAUUGUGAAAAAUGACAGAAAUGGCAAAAUUGACUGAGAUUGACCAAUUAAACAAAGGAAUAAAGGUGGAAAACACAUACACAAAAAUAACUGAAGUAGCAUAGUUGUUGUUAAGUUGGUUACUAAAGUUUUGAUACAAGAUUAUCAUAAUUGCAAUUUUGAUGUAUUAUAAGGAUUUGCCAAACUAGUGGCAAUGGAAUGUAGAUUCACACAUUACAUAAAAUGCAGCAUGAGUUGCAGUGUUCAUUACUUUAUUGGUUAGGGUUACAACUUUUAAAAACUUAUCACACCAUAGGAUAGUGGAUCCAAAUAUGAGCUGACCAUGACCUACCCAAAAAUACAAUGUCUCAGUCUGCCCACCAAGAACCCAUGGGAUUGUGAUUAAUGAGAUCAACAUUAGCUGUUACUGCAUGCUUUUGGUGUCAUCCAUUGAAUCAUCCACUCAUCAUGUAGGUAGGCAUAGUGUAGAUCCAGCUGUAACACUCUUAAGCAGCGCGAACACUGGGAACCAACACGGAGGCCAAUAAACAAUCUAAUAUCUUUAUUAAAGCAAUUAAAGUUUCAAACAAAAAUAAGCAGAAUAGAUAGUCAAGCAGUUGACCUUUCAGGAAAGAUCAAAAUUAGUCCAAUAAAUGAAAGUCUUAUGUCCAGUAAUAGAGUCCAAAGUCCAAUAACCGAAACACACUCAAACUUAAUGGAAGUUUGAGUGGGGAAAGGAGCAAAGUUCCUCAGGAAAGUAUUUGAAGUAAAAGUCCAGAACAAGGUUUCAAGGCAAGGCUAUGGCUGUUCGUGAUGGUAAGGUAAGCGCGCCGGCAGGCCACUUGGAAUUCAGGAGCGAGAGACAAUGAACUCUUCAAUCUGAAGUUGUUGACACCGCACAGAAGAUUCUCUGUGCAAGACUUUUAACGAAGUUCAUAGCUCCCCCAAGCAGGUGUUUGACUCCCCAAAACUUCCCAAGAUAACUGAGCAGCCAAAAUCUCACGCCAGGUGCCUGCCUCCCUAAUUCUUCCCAAGAGAACUGGGUUUAGCCACAAUCGCCUCACUCUGCUAAUCUGACACUUCGUCUUAAACUUUGCCUUUGGGAGCGAUCUGUUUUCAAGAAAGCCCUUCUAUCAAAACGUAAACCCUCCGGAGAUCCGGGAAGCGCCGGCACCGUCUCAAGGGCAUCCUUAAUUGGCUCUGGCACAGAAAUGUCAACAGAAGGCAUCUGGAAAGGAAUUGAAUCUUGCUCACUUGGGAAAAACCCCAAGUCCUCUUCAGUUUGAUCAGCAAUGGCUGCAGGGUCAGGGGGCAAAGGUGCCUGAGACAUCAUACCAGCCCACUGUGCAAUGUGUCACUUAAAAUGGUUGAAACAACAAAAAGGACUGAGGCCCCUUCCACACAGCUGAAUAAAAUCCCACAGUUUCUGCUUUUAACAGGAAUAUAUGGCAGUGUGGACUCAGAUAACCCAGUUCAAAGCAGAUAUUGGGGGAUUUUCUGCCUUGAUAUUCUGGGUUAUAUGGCUGUGUGGAAGGGCCCAUAGAUACAGAACUUUAUUUAAACCAAUGUUUCCCAAACUUAUUUGGCCUACCACCACUUU
rnacentral:lncRNA from 1 species